CAGCCGCCACGGUAAUACGUAGGUCCCGAGCGUUGUCCGGAUCUAUUGGGCGUAAAGGGAGCGCAGGCGGUUUAGUAAGUCUGAAGUUAAAGGCAUUGGCUCAACCAAUGUAUGCUUUGGAAACUGUUAGACUUGAGUGCAGAAGGGGAGAGUGGAAUUCCAUGUGUAGCGGUGAAAUUCGUAGAUAUUUGUAGGAAUGCCGAUGGGGAAGCCAGCUUACUGGACAGAUACUGACGCUAAAGCGCGAAAGCGUGGGUAGCAAACAGGAUUAGAUACCCGCGUAGUCCCUGUCUCUUAUACA
rnacentral:rRNA from 1 species